GUGGGGAAUAUUGGACAAUGGGCGAAAGCCUGAUCCAGCCAUGCCGCGUGUGUGAAGAAGGUCUUCGGAUUGUAAAGCACUUUAAGUUGGGAGGAAGGGCAGUAAGUUAAUACCUUGCUGUUUUGACGUUACCGACAGAAUAAGCACCGGCUAACUUCGUGCCAGCAGCCGCGGUAAUACGAAGGGUGCAAGCGUUAAUCGGAAUUACUGGGCGUAAAGCGCGCGUAGGUGGUUCAGUAAGUUGGAAGUGAAAUCCCCGGGCUCAACCUGGGAACUGCUUUCAAAACUGCUGAGCUAGAGUACGGUAGAGGGUAGUGGAAUUUCCUGUGUAGCGGUGAAAUGCGUAGAUAUAGGAAGGAACACCAGUGGCGAAGGCGACUACCUGGACUGAUACUGACACUGAGGUGCGAAAGCGUGGGGAGCAAACAGGAUUAGAAACCCCGGUAGUCC
rnacentral:rRNA from 1 species